ensembl:miRNA
CGGCCCUCGCGGGGGUGCAUUGUAGUUGCAUUGCAUGUGUCAGACUGGGAGUGCAAUGCCCCUGCCAUGCAGCCCGGCGGGGGUCCC